AGAGUUUGAUCCUGGCUCAGGAUAAACGCUGGCGGCGUGCCUAACACAUGCAAGUCGAACGUCCUACGCAAGUAGGGAGUGGCGGACGGGUGAGUAACACAUGGGUAUCUACCCUCAAGUGAGGAAUACCGGCGAGAAAUCGCCGACAAGACCGCAUACGCUUCGCAAGAAGCAAAGCUCGCAAGGGCGCUUGGGGAUGAGCCUGUGGCCGAUUAGUUAGCUGGUGGGGUAAAGGCCUACCAGGACCACGAUCGGUAGCUGGUCUGAGAGGACGAUCAGCCACACUGGGAUUGAGAACGGCCCAGACUCCUACGGGGGGCAGCAGUGAGGAAUUUUCGUCAAUGGGGGCAACCCUGAACGAGCAACGCCGCGUGCAGGAAGAAGGUUUUCGGAUCGUAAACUGCUUUUCUCUGGGACGAGUAAGGACGGUACCAGAGGAAGAAGCCCCGGCUAACUACGUGCCAGCAGCCGCGGUAAUACGUAGGGGGCAAGCGUUGUCCGGAUUUAUUGGGCGUAAAGCGUCCGCAGGCGGUCUGUUAAGUUUGGGGUGACAGUGCCCGGCUCAACUGGGCAAGUGCUUCGAAAACUGGCAGACUUGAGGGCUUCAGAGGAAAGCGGAACUCCGGGUGGAGUGGUGAAAUGCGUAGAUAUCCGGAAGAACACCGAUGGCGUAGGCAGCUUUCUGGGAAGAACCUGACGCUCAGGGACGAAAGCUAGGGGAGCAAACGGGAUUAGAUACCCCGGUAGUCC
rnacentral:rRNA from 1 species